rnacentral:rRNA from 1 species
GUUUGAUCAUGGCUCAGAUUGAACGCUGGCGGCAGGCCUAACACAUGCAAGUCGAGCGGCAGCACGGGUACUUGUACCUGGUGGCGAGCGGCGGACGGGUGAGUAAUGCCUAGGAAUCUGCCUGGUAGUGGGGGAUAACGCUCGGAAACGGACGCUAAUACCGCAUACGUCCUACGGGAGAAAGCAGGGGACCUUCGGGCCUUGCGCUAUCAGAUGAGCCUAGGUCGGAUUAGCUAGUUGGUGAGGUAACGGCUCACCAAGGCGACGAUCCGUAACUGGUCUGAGAGGAUGAUCAGUCACACUGGAACUGAGACACGGUCCAGACUCCUACGGGAGGCAGCAGUGGGGAAUAUUGGACAAUGGGCGAAAGCCUGAUCCAGCCAUGCCGCGUGUGUGAAGAAGGUCUUCGGAUUGUAAAGCACUUUAAGUUGGGAGGAAGGGCAUUUACCUAAUACGUAAGUGUUUUGACGUUACCGACAGAAUAAGCACCGGCUAACUCUGUGCCAGCAGCCGCGGUAAUACAGAGGGUUCAAGCGUUAAUCGGAAUUACUGGGCGUUAAGCGCGCGUAGGUGGUUUGUUAAA